GGAUGGGUGGCUGAGCGGUUGAAAGCACCGGUCUUGAAAACCGGCGUGGGUUCAUCCCCACCGUGGGUUCGAAUCCCACCCCAUCCGCCA
rnacentral:tRNA from 1 species